UUAAAUUUAAUUAUUGAGCUGCAACUUUCACCAAUUGGUUUGGAGAAAGACAAUAGAGGCUUGGGUUCUUUUAGUUAAGAAAAAUUGCGUCGGUGUUCAGUUAUAACAUAAGAUUGUUUAUUGUUCUCUGUAAUCUCACAUUUCAUGGCGGCGCUCACAAGGUGCCACGGCCCGCUGCAGCUGUCUAUCCCCAAGGAAGGCGGCAACGAGGGGGAGCCUCGGCAAGGGGUUUGGGUUCCCCCUCCCCUUCGAUCGGUCGAGAGCAACCAAGUGAAGCGCCAUCACCGGACAUCAGAUCUGCAAGUCGUCGGCGUCACCGAGGCACCCCCUACUUCUCACGAAGCAUCCGAGUCCACUUUACAUGUCUUCAUGUCAGUGGUCGUCAAAUUUUCUCCAGUAUUGCCUUGAGUAGCUGCAGUGGUGACCACACAAGUGAACGAGAUGCAAACAAGGCAGGUAAGCUACUGCAAAUUUAUACAAUAAUUUAUUGUCAAGAAACGGACGCUAGAUUACUGUGCCGGAUAGAUCUUAGCAGGCAAACAGUAGGAGAACUGAUGUAAAUGAGAAUACAAAGUUCUUCAUGUGAGGUAAAAUGUUGUCCAGUUUUUUUUUCUUAAAAUGAAAUAUCUAUGUCUUUGCUGAUUUAUUUGUCCAGUUUUUUGUUCUUCAGGUGAGAAGACAAAGUUCUUCAGAUAAACAGUAGGAGUAUAACCAGGGAGUGUGGAUUUUCUGAAUCUAAAUGGAAAAGAGGGGAUAUGGUACUUUAGAAUUUGGUUUUCGGUGAAACUAUAAAUUCCAUUGGCAUGCUUGAUUUAAUGUUCACUUAAAUUGCCUAGAUCCUUAUCCACUUGUCCUCAUGGAAGCCUCUCAACCCUCAAAUGUUUGUCUUUGCUGAUUUAUUUGUUUAGGCAGCCCUCGUUUAGCUGCACCUUUUCCUAUUAAGGAAAAAAAGAAGCUUUGCGUUCAAUUUCUCCUAGAAUCUUUCUGUGAUACCAGCUGAUUUAUUUAUUCUCUUAUUUGGAACGUUAUGACAACAAGAAGCCACUAGCUAGAAAGAAUAAAGGAACAGAAUGCAGUGACACCACCGCUCCAUCAUGUAGGUGUUAUUACAAAUGUUAGUACUAACCUUUUAUGUUUAUAUUUGAUCAAACCUAAAAUGGCUGACUCAUUAAAGAAUGAGAAAUGACAAACUUUUGUGUUAGAGGGAGUAGAUAAUGGUGAUCUGUGCAAGCUAAUCUGCAGUAGUUGUCACCAGCCGAUGAUCAUGUGUUUCUCUGAAUUCUGAAACCUAAUCCUGCUUCAAAAUGGCAUAUAUAAUUCCUGGUCCUCUUGAAAAGGCAAUAGAACCUGAGCUUGUGAUCUUGUUUUAGGAGUAGAUAAUGGUAUAUAAUUCAAGAUGUUAAGUAUAUAUAAACAUGAAUCGUAUAUGAACCCAGUUUCUCUGCAUUCUGAAACCUAAUCCUGAGAUGAUGUGAUUGUGAUCCACUGACUGGAGGAUCCAUGCAAAUCUCAGUGUCACCUUCUCCAGCAGGCAACAACUGACUGUUUGUUGGUGUGCAGUGUUCUUCAAACUAUUCAGCAAUUAAACUGUUCAAACAUGUUACUGAAGAUUGGCAGCUGAAACACAUGAUCACCGGCUGAACAUGGUAGGUGUGAAAAUUAAGAUCACCGACUGAACAGUUUAUGAUCACCAGCUGAAACACAAGAUCUGGGAGGCGUGGAACAUGGUAGCUGAACUCUUCAAACAUGUUAGGCAAUAGCAGGCAACAACAGUGAAACACAAUCAUCAACUGAAAAGCUGUCCGGCACCUGAACUGAGCAAAUUUGGUUGCCUGGUAGAGGGAGGUCUAAUGGCUAACGCUGCUAUUCAAUUAUUUUUUUACUUUAGUUUGUAUCCUCCUUACAGAUGUUGGAUGAAAGCAAACCUUCAUUUUUUGUUUAGCAGGCCUACUAAAACAAGCUUAGUGAACCUGGGUGAACAACAUGCACUGAUUCAAAAUUUUAUUUUCAUUCAUUGCAUUUAGCUUGCCUU